rnacentral:rRNA from 1 species
GACGAACGCUGGCGGCGUGCUUAACACAUGCAAGUCGAACGGUGAAGCUCCAGCUUGCUGGAGUGGAUCAGUGGCGAACGGGUGAGUAACACGUGAGCAACCUGCCCCAGACUCUGGAAUAAGCGCUGGAAACGGCGUCUAAUACUGGAUACGAGAUCAAGCCGCAUGGUUAUGGUCUGGAAAGUUUUUCGGUUUGGGAUGGGCUCGCGGCCUAUCAGCUUGUUGGUGAGGUAAUGGCUCACCAAGGCGACGACGGGUAGCCGGCCUGAGGGGGCGACCGGCCACACUGGGACUGAGACACGGCCCAGACUCCUACGGGAGGCAGCAGUGGGGAAUAUUGCACAAUGGGCGAAAGCCUGAUGCAGCGACGCCGCGUGAGGGAUGACGGCCUUCGGGUUGUAAACCUCUUUCAGCAGGGAAGAAGCGAAAGUGACGGUACCUGCAGAAGAAGCACCGGCUAACUACGUG